ACUCCUACGGGAGGCAGCAGUGGGGAAUAUUGCACAAUGGGGGAAACCCUGAUGCAGCCAUGCCGCGUGUGUGAAGAAGGCCUUCGGGUUGUAAAGCACUUUCAGUAGGGAGGAAGGUAGUGUAGUUAACACCUGCAUUAUUUGACGUUACCUACAGAAGAAGCACCGGCUAACUCCGUGCCAGCAGCCGCGGUAAUACGGAGGGUGCGAGCGUUAAUCGGAAUUACUGGGCGUAAAGCGCAUGCAGGCGGCCUGUUAAGUCAGAUGUGAAAGCCCGGGGCUUAACCUCGGAAUUGCAUUUGAAACUGGCAGGCUAGAGUCUUGUAGAGGGGUUAGAAUUUCAGGUGUAGCGGUGAAAUGCGUAGAGAUCUGAAGGAAUACCGAGUGGCGAAGGCGGCCCCUAGGACAAAGACUGACGCUCAGAUGCGAAAGCGUGGGAGCAAACAGGAUUAGAUACCCCUGGUAGACUGUCA
rnacentral:rRNA from 1 species